UCCGGUUUAACACCGGCAGUCUCUCUAGAGUCCCCGGCUUCACCCGCUGGCAACUAGAGACAAGGGUUUCGCUCGUUAAGGGACUUAACCCGACAUCUCACGACACGAGCUGACGACAGCCAUGCAGCACCUGUGCACGUUUCACCCGAAGGCAGGCCCAUCCCUUUCAGGCGGACCAUCCGUGCAUGUCAAAUCUAGGAUAAGGUUCUUCGCGUAGCCUCGAAUUAAGCCACAUCCUCCACCGCUUGUGUGAGCCCCCGUCAAUUCCUUUGAGUUUUAGCCUUGCGGCCGUACUCCCCAGGCGGGGCGCUUAAUGCGUUAGCUGCGGCACGGAGACCUUGGAAGGUCCUCACACCUAGCGCCCAACGUUUACGGCAUGGACUAC
rnacentral:misc_RNA from 1 species